UAGGGAAUCUUCCGCAAUGGACGAAAGUCUGACGGAGCAACGCCGCGUGAGUGAAGAAGGAUUUCGGUUCGUAAAACUCUGUUGUUAGGGAAGAAAAAAUGUAUAGUAACUAUAUACAAAAGAGACGGUACCUAACCAGAAAGCCACGGCUAACUACGUGCCAGCAGCCGCGGUAAUACGUAGGUGGCAAGCGUUGUCCGGAAUUAUUGGGCGUAAAGCGCGCGCAGGUGGUUUAGAAAGUCUGAUGUGAAAGCCCACGGCUCAACCGUGGAGGGUCAUUGGGAACUAAUAAACUUGAGUGCAGGAGAGAAAAGUGGAAUUCCUAGUGGAGCGGUGAAAUGCGUAGAGAUUAGGAGGAACACCGGUGGCGAAAGCGGCUUUUUGGCCUGCAACUGACACUGAGGCGCGAAAGCGUGGGGAGCAAACAGG
rnacentral:rRNA from 1 species